GAUUAACGCUAGCGGCAGGCCUAAUACAUGCAAGUCGAACGGCAGCGGGUCCAGCAAUGGAUGCCGGCGAGUGGCGCACGGGUGCGUAACACGUAUGCAAUCUACCCUUAACUGGGGGAUAGCCCCGAGAAAUCGGGAUUAAUACCCCAUAAUAUUAUGAAGUGGCAUCAUUUUAUAAUUAAAGUUCCGACGGUUUUGGAUGAGCAUGCGCGACAUUAGCUAGUUGGCGAGGUAACGGCUCACCAAGGCUGCGAUGUCUAGGGGUUCUGAGAGGAUUCACCCCCACACUGGUACUGAGACACGGACCAGACUCCUACGGGAGGCAGCAGUAAGGAAUAUUGGUCAAUGGACGCAAGUCUGAACCAGCCAUGCCGCGUGAAGGAAGACGGCCCUACGGGUUGUAAACUUCUUUUGUACGGGAAAAACCACCGGUCGUGAACCGGUGCUGAUGGUACCGUAAGAAUAAGCAUCGGCUAACUCCGUGCCAGCAGCCGCGGUAAAGUCGAUA
rnacentral:rRNA from 1 species